UCCGGGCCCCGGUUGCAGCCCAAGUGUGUAGCUUUUGGAAACCCCAUCCUCCCACCCGGAACAUUCUCAGAAUUCCCCGCCAAAAAAACCACCUCCCCAACCCCAGGGUCUCCCUCGACUUGGCUUCUCGCCCCUCUUCCCGCCCCCUCACCAGGCCUCGGAGCUCCGAGAAGGGAGAGGGGCUGGCUAGGGGGAGGGGAGGCGCGCGGACGAGAGUGGGGGGCGGACGCUCGGCGGGGACCCGGCGCGGCCCCCGAGUGGGCGCGCUCCCUACCUGCGGGGCGGCGGGCGGCGGCGGCGGCGGCGGAGCGUCCAGCGCGCGGAGGGAGGCGGCCGACUGCUCCGAGCCGAGGCAUCCCCGCAUUUAUUUGAGCUCAAACCCAGCGACUGUUGACUUUAGCACACAAAGCAAAGAUUUCACUGCCCGCUAGUUUAAAAAUGAAUAUUUUACCAAGAUAUCGAUCAGCGUUAUAAAAUUCAGUUAAGUACAAUGGGAUCCUGGCAAAAAAAAAAAAAAAGAAUAAUAAAGGAGGGGGAGGCAAUAUGAUAUCUGUGCAAAUUUGCCGAAGUGUGACGUGGCAGGGCAAGUUUACCCUCCUGGAAUUCGGAUCUACAAUGUUUUUUUCGGUUGUUUACUGACUGUUUAUUCACAGAUCACGGUUGCUUAAACCCGCGCGCGGAUGGCGCGGGGAAAAGGAAGAAAAAGAGGGAGAGAGAGGGGAAAGGAGCGGCGCGCUGGACCACGCAGAGCCGGGGGACGCGGGCGGAGGGCGGUCUGAGCGCCAGUUCCAGGAGAACUUAUUUCUCCUCUGUUUUCAAGUCUCCUUCCAACAGUGACCCAGGAGUUUCCAAGGGCCAAAACCCCACUCCAAAGGGAAGUCUACCUGUCACCAUUCAGAACGAAUGUACUUGCUGGCGGGGCUGGACUCAAACCUGGGGGAAGUGCGCUGCCUGUGUCCACCCAGAGUUGACGGGAAAACCACCAAGGCCUGGGUGCUCUGAAGCAGUCGGUGUGAUGCCAGCCCAGCGAAGCCGGGCAGGAGCAUGCGGCAGGCCCCUCUGCCCCCCCCCCCACCGCUUGUCAUCUGUCCAGAGCAUCAGCUUGCCAUCAAGAACAGGGCGCAGGGGACCUGGCUGAUCCCUGUGAAUCUGGUGCUGGGCUCGCCCAGGGAGGAAAAAGGGACAGCGCGCCCCUUUCCUCAACACCGUCUAGCCUCCUAGCUGACCCCGGUGUGCGUGGUUAAGGAGCAAAAUGGAUUCCGAAGAAGAGAAAGUCACAAGGAGACCUCUGCUUACUGAGUUUUGAACGGGGUUUGCAUCCCCCCUCCCCGCCCCGGAAAAGACCUGGGCCUCUGCUGAAGGUGACUGGGGCCAGAAUCCUCUCCCCCUGAUGCUGGCCCAACGCUAAGCUGUAGCCGGGCUCCUGCGGGAGAGACAGAAGGAGACCAGGCGCCCUGCAGUAGCAACCCGCACACGCGCAGACGUGGGCCCCCUGCUGGGAAACGUGCUGUUUCUCUUGCUUUGCUGCCCAAA